UUGGGGACGACAUCUUUUGUUG
rnacentral:miRNA from 1 species